rnacentral:rRNA from 1 species
GAUGAACGCUGGCGGCGUGCCUAAUACAUGCAAGUCGAGCGAACAGACGAGGAGCUUGCUCCUCUGACGUUAGCGGCGGACGGGUGAGUAACACGUGGAUAACCUACCUAUAAGACUGGGAUAACUUCGGGAAACCGGAGCUAAUACCGGAUAAUAUAUUGAUCCGCAUGGUUCAAUAGUGAAAGACGGUUUUGCUGUCACUUAUAGAUGGAUCCGCGCCGCAUUAGCUAGUUGGUAAGGUAACGGCUUACCAAGGCGACGAUGCGUAGCCGACCUGAGAGGGUGAUCGGCCACACUGGAACUGAGACACGGUCCAGACUCCUACGGGAGGCAGCAGUAGGGAAUCUUCCGCAAUGGGCGAAAGCCUGACGGAGCAACGCCGCGUGAGUGAUGAAGGUCUUCGGAUCGUAAAACUCUGUUAUUAGGGAAGAACAAAUGUGUAAGUAACUAUGCACGUCUUGACGGUACCUAAUCAGAAAGCCACGGCUAACUACGUG